rnacentral:rRNA from 1 species
UAAGGAAUAUUGGUCAAUGGACGCAAGUCUGAACCAGCCAUGCCGCGUGAAGGAUGAAGGUCCUCUGGAUUGUAAACUUCUUUUAUCUGGGACGAAAACGGGAUUUUUAUCUCAAUUGACGGUACCAGAGGAAUAAGCACCGGCUAACUCCGUGCCAGCAGCCGCGGUAAUACGGAGGGUGCGAGCGUUAUCCGGAUUUACUGGGUUUAAAGGGUGCGUAGGUGGGCUUAUAAGUCAGUGGUGAAAUCUCCGAGCUUAACUUGGAAACUGCCGUUGAUACUAUAGGUCCUGAAUUAUCUGGAGGUAAGCGGAAUAUGUCAUGUAGCGGUGAAAUGCUUAGAUAUGACAUAGAACACCAAUUGCGAAGGCAGCUUACUACAUAUAAAUUGACGCUGAGGCACGAAAGCGUGGGGAUCAAACA